AGUGAACGCUGGCGGCAGGCCUAACACAUGCAAGUCGAACGGCAGCACGGCAGUAGCAAUACUGUGGGUGGCGAGUGGCGGACGGGUGAGGAAUACAUCGGGAUCUACCCUGUUGUGGGGGAUAACGUAGGGAAACUUACGCUAAUACCGCAUAAGAACUGAGGUUGAAAGCGGCGGACCGCAAGGCGUCGCGCGAUUGGAUGAACCGAUGUCCGAUUAGCUAGUUGGCGGGGUAAAGGCCCACCAAGGCGACGAUCGGUAGCUGGUCUGAGAGGACGACCAGCCACACUGGAACUGAGACACGGUCCAGACUCCUACGGGAGGCAGCAGUGGGGAAUAUUGGACAAUGGACGGAAGUCUGAUCCAGCCAUCCCGCGUGGAGGAAUAAGGCCCUAUGGGUUGUAAACUCCUUUAGCAGGGGAAUAAAAAGGUCAUUUAUGAUCAAUUGAAGGUACCCUGAGAAUAAGCACCGGCUAACUCCGUAGCCAGCAGCCGCGGUAAU
rnacentral:rRNA from 1 species